CAAGGUGAGGUGCGUGAUGGGCUUGGCCCUGUCCCCCACUCACAAGCCAGCAGCAGUAGCUAUCCCUGGAGGGGAAGAGCCGCUGCACUCUGCUAAAAGGUGCUGCAGCACUGCACCAUACUGCUACAAGUAACAGCAAUAUAGAAAAUGAUGGCCUAAAGAACACAAGGUUUGAUCCUAUAUCAUUGAAGUUAUCAGUACAGUAGACAUUGACUUUAACGGGAGCUAGAUCAGGCAACAGAGGUGAAACCCAAAACAUGAAAGAUAGCUGAAAUGUAAAUGUCUCCCACAAGAUCCGUUUUCUUGUUUGCAGAAGUGCCUUCUUCAGGAAUAAAAUAUGGAUGUGAUAUGUUUCUAGACCUCAAUUUAGCCAAGGUUGAAAUCUUGCCAGCCCAGUUAAACAGCCAUAAAAUUGGAUUUGACAGUACAGAUACUAAUCACAAAAGAGUACGACUGUUAUGAUACUUAUGAACUUGCUGGAUUCUAACUAGAUCAAAGUGCCAGAAGGGGUUACUCAGCACCUUGAUGAAACAGGAUGAGAGACCGGGUUAACCUAACUAGGCCUUUAAAAAAACAAGUAUUGUGGAAGCCCUGCAGAAUUCCAGCUGUCACUCAUUGCAAAUUCAGGAGUCAUUUAAUGUCACCACUGCUGUAGGUGGGCAGGAGCUGAACUCCAGCAAUUUCACAACUUUACUUUUUCUGAAAUAAAAGCCCCUUCCUCUUUCA